AGUGAACGCUGGCGGUAGGCCUAACACAUGCAAGUCGAACGGCAGCACAGUAAGAGCUUGCUCUUACGGGUGGCGAGUGGCGGACGGGUGAGGAAUACAUCGGAAUCUACUUUUUCGUGGGGGAUAACGUAGGGAAACUUACGCUAAUACCGCAUACGACCUACGGGUGAAAGCAGGGGAUCUUCGGACCUUGCGCGAUUGAAUGAGCCGAUGUCGGAUUAACUAGUUGGCGGGGUAAAGGCCCACCAAGGCGACGAUCCGUAGCUGGUCUGAGAGGAUGAUCAGCGACACUGGAACUGAGACACGGCCCAGACCCCUCUGGGAGGCGGCAGUAGGGAUUAUUGGACAAUGGGCGCAAGCCUGACCCAGCCAUACCGCGUGUGUGAAGAAGGCCUUCGGGUUGUAAAGCCCUUUUGUUGGGAAAGAAAAGCAGCAGGUUAAUACCCCGCUGUUCUGACGGUACCCAAAGAAUAAGCACCGGCUAACUUCGUG
rnacentral:rRNA from 1 species